CAAUCCCAGUUCCCUCAGCCUCUCCUCAGAAGUCAUGUGUUCCAGUCCCCUAAUCAUUUAUUUCCUCCAUACCUCUGAGUGAUUGGCCAGUGCAGCAGGCUGGGAAGAAUCAUCUUGGGAGGCCCACAUAGCACUGUUUCUGACAGCCUGGUGACCAAUUCUGGAUAGAAGCUUUUUUUUUUUUUUUUUUUUUUUUUUUGCUGGACCAUGGCCAUUCAAUGGAGUGAGUAGCGGGAAGUAUUGAAAGAGAGAGACUGUUAGCACUGUUUCCACAUACCUCAAAGACUGAUCUUUAUGCAGCUGAAACUCCAAGGGAUAUCCCUUAAAAUAAAGGCUAGCUUAUUACCCAUCUUCUCCA